GAUGAACGCUGGCGGCGUGCCUAAUACAUGCAAGUCGAGCGAACGGACGAGAAGCUUGCUUCUCUGAUGUUAGCGGCGGACGGGUGAGUAACACGUGGAUAACCUACCUAUAAGACUGGGAUAACUUCGGGAAACCGUAGCUAAUACCGGCUAAUAUUUUGAACCGCAUGGUUCAAAAGUGAAAGACGGUCUUGCUGUCACUUAUCGAUGGAUCCGCGCUGCAUUAGCUAGUUGGUAAGGUAACGGCUUACCAAGGCAACGAUGCAUAGCCGACCUGAGAGGGUGAUCGGCCACACUGGAACUGAGACACGGUCCAGACUCCUACGGGAGGCAGCAGUGGGGAAUCUUCCGCAAUGGGCGAAAGCCUGACGGAGCAACGCCGCGUGAGUGAUGAAGGUCUUCGGAUCGUAAAACUCUGUUAUUAGGGAAGAACAUAUGUGUAAGUAACUGUGCACAUCUUGACGGUACCUAAUCAGGAAGCCACGGCUAACUACGUG
rnacentral:rRNA from 1 species